rnacentral:rRNA from 1 species
AGUGAACGCUGGCGGUAGGCCUAACACAUGCAAGUCGAACGGCAGCACAGUAAGAGCUUGCUCUUACGGGUGGCGAGUGGUGGACGGGUGAGGAAUACAUCGGAAUCUACUUUUUCGUGGGGGAUAACGUAGGGAAACUUACGCUAAUACCGCAUACGACCUACGGGUGAAAGCAGGGGAUCUUCGGACCUUGCGCGAUUGAAUGAGCCGAUGUCGGAUUAGCUAGUUGGCGGGGUAAAGGCCCACCAAGGCGACGAUCCGUAGCUGGUCUGAGAGGAUGAUCAGCCACACUGGAACUGAGACACAGUCCAGACUCCUACGGGAGGCAGCAGUGGGGAAUAUUGGACAAUGGGCGCAAGCCUGAUCCAGCCAUACCGCGUGGGUGAAGAAGGCCUUCGGGUUGUAAAGCCCUUUUGUUGGGAAAGAAAAGCAGCAGGUUAAUACCCCGCUGUUCUGACGGUACCCAAAGAAUAAGCACCGGCUAACUUCGUG